UACAGAGGUGGCAAGCGUUGUUCGGAUUCAUUGGGCGUAAAGGGUUCGUAGGCGGCCCGGAAAGUUGGAUGUGAAAUCCCACAGCUUAACUGUGGAACUGCAUUCAAAACUCCCGGGCUCGAGUGUGAGAGGGGUAGAGGGAAUUCCCAGUGUAAGGGUGAAAUCUGCAGAGAUUGGGAAGAACACCAGUCGCGAAGGCGCUCUACUGGCUCAUGUCUGACGCUGAGGGACGAAAGCUAGGGUAGCAAACGGG
rnacentral:misc_RNA from 1 species